GACGAACGCUGGCGGCGUGCUUAACACAUGCAAGUCGAGCGGAAAGGCCCUUUCGGGGGGACUCGAGCGGCGAACGGGUGAGUAACACGUGAGUAAUCUGCCCUUGGCUUUGAUAUAACAAACGGAAACGGUUGCGAAUUCCGGAUAGGACGCGCACCGGCCGCGGCGUGCGUGGCAAGUUUUUUCGGCCAGGGAUGUGCCCGCGGCCUAUCGGCUUGUUGGUGGGGUAAUGGCCUACCAUGGCUUCGACGGGUAGCCGGCCUGAGGGGGUGACCGGCCACACUGGGACUGAGACACGGCCCAGACUCCUACGGGAGGCAGCAGUGGGGAAUAUUGGACAAUGGGCGGAAGCCUGAUCCAGCAACGCCGCGUGAGGGAUGACGGCCUUCGGGUUGUAAACCUCUUUCAGUACCGACGAAGCGCCGAUGAUGGUGGUGACGGUAGGUACAGAAGAAGCACCGGCCAACUACGUGCCAGCCGCCGCAGUAA
rnacentral:rRNA from 1 species